rnacentral:rRNA from 1 species
UGACUGACUGAGUGCCAGCAGCCGCGGGUGGGGCAGAUGAUUGGGGUGAAGUCGUAACAAGGUAACGCUCAGUCAGUGCAAGUCGUAACAAGGUAACCUCAGUCAGUCAAGUCGUAACAAGGUAACCUCAGUCAGUCAAGUCGCUAACAAGGUAACCUCAGUCAGUCAAGUCGUAACAAGGUAGCCUCAGUCAGUCAAGUCGUAACAAGGUAACCUCAGUCAGUCAAGUCGUAACAGGGUAACCUCAGUCAGUCAAGUCGUAACAAUGGUAGCCUCAA